AGUGAACGCUGGCGGUAGGCCUAACACAUGCAAGUCGAACGGCAGCACAGUAAGAGCUUGCUCUUACGGGUGGCGAGUGGCGGACGGGCGAGGAAUACAUCGGAAUCUACUUUUUCGUGGGGGAUAACGUAGGGAAACUUACGCUAAUACCGCAUACGACCUACGGGUGAAAGCAAGGGAUCUUCGGACCUUGCGCGAUUGAAUGAGCCGAUGUCGGAUUAGCUAGUUGGCGGGGUAAAGGCCCACCAAGGCGACGAUCCGUAGCUGGUCUGAGAGGAUGAUCAGCCACACUGGAACUGAGACACGGUCCAGACUCCUACGGGAGGCAGCAGUGGGGAAUAUUGGACAAUGGGCGCAAGCCUGAUCCAGCCAUACCGCGUGGGUGAAGAAGGCCUUCGGGUUGUAAAGCCCUUUUGUUGGGAAAGAAAAGCAGCAGGUUAAUACCCCGCUGUUCUGACGGUACCCAAAGAAUAAGCACCGGCUAACUUCGUG
rnacentral:rRNA from 1 species